UCAGAACUGGGAAGUUAACACUGGCGUAAUAUGAUUAAAUAAACUCUAAGCCUUAUCCACAUUUUAUGGGGUUUUCUGCUUGUAUUCUUUAUUUUUGUCCCAGGAUUCAAAAUGCUGCACUUCCUUAUUACGUGUCCUUGGUCUUUUCCAGACUGUCAGCAUCUCAGACUAUCCUGUCUCCUGGGACUCCGACAUUUUGAAGAGUAGAUUUGUUCCGCAGAAUGCCUCCUCAAUGGGUGCUACUUCAGGGUGAAUGAAGCUGGCAAGGGCAGUCUCUGCUGGGGCCUAUAGGCAGGGGGUCGCCUUCACCUCUCCAUCAGGUGUCUCUGCGCCACUGACCUAGGACCACAGACGUCUAUCCUCAGCCCCCAGCCUGCUGUCGUCGAGAAGCCUCACAGAUAACAUAAACAGUCCGUCGGCACGUGUGUUCUGUGUUCAGUGUAUUCCGUACCGAGUUCGUAGACCUGCAGUGGUUGAUGGGUCAACUACGGAGAGCUUGCAGUGCUCGAGAUCGACGUGUAGUGAGAGCGAUGACAAGCAGGCAGAGAGGCAGGCAGAGAGAGAGGAGGAAGCAGGCUCCCUGCUGAGCAGAGAGCCUGAUUUGGGGCUCGAUCCCAGGACCCUGGGAUCAUGACCUGAGCCGAAGACAGUGGCUUAACCCACUGAGCCACCCAGGCGUCCCAAAGAUGAUUAUAUGACUUUAUCCUUCAUUUUGGGAGGUGGGUGAUGGUUGCACAACAGUAUGAAUGUACUUAAAAUGUCACUGACCUGUAUACUUCUAAAUGGUUAAGAUGAAAAAUUAUCUGUAAAUUGUCUGUUAUCUGUAAUUUAACACAAUAAAAAAAUUGGGGGGAAAAGUUUAUUUUGAAAAUAGGGCUAAAUUUGAAAAUAAAAUUUAGAUCAUAAUAGCAAUAUGUGAUUCAUUUUUGAAUAAACAAAGAACGAAUCAAAUGAUGGUUUUUGGGGGCGUGUUUGUUUCUUGGUUGGUGGGGAAGGAAGGUGAAAGGAUUAGAAUUUUUUCUACAAAAUUAUUUCACAUUUGACUUUUCUAACCUAAGAUAUAAGGUUAAUUUUUGCAGAAUUAUUCUAGGGU